rnacentral:rRNA from 1 species
GAUGAACGCUGGCGGCGUGCCUAACACAUGCAAGUCGAACGGGAAGCGACCUUCGGGUCGUGGAGAGUGGCGAACGGGUGAGUAACACGUAGCUGACCUGCCCUCAAGACGUGGAUAACUAUUGGAAACAGUAGCUAAUACACGAUAAGCUCACGUAUAAUAGAGAUAUGUGAGAAAAGUUAAGGCGCUUGAGGAUGGGGCUGCGAGCCAUCAGCUAGUUGGUGAGGUAAAAGCUCACCAAGGCGACGACGGCUAGGGGACCUGAGAGGGUGACCCCCCACACUGGAACUGAGACACGGUCCAG